GAGUUUGAUCCUGGCUCAGAUUGAACGCUGGCGGCAGGCCUAACACAUGCAAGUCGAGCGGAUGAAAGGAGCUUGCUCCUGGAUUCAGCGGCGGACGGGUGAGUAAUGCCUAGGAAUCUGCCUGGUAGUGGGGGACAACGUUUCGAAAGGAACGCUAAUACCGCAUACGUCCUACGGGAGAAAGCAGGGGACCUUCGGGCCUUGCGCUAUCAGAUGAGCCUAGGUCGGAUUAGCUAGUUGGUGAGGUAAUGGCUCACCAAGGCGACGAUCCGUAACUGGUCUGAGAGGAUGAUCAGUCACACUGGAACUGAGACACGGUCCAGAUCUACGGGAGGCAGCAGUGGGGAAUAUUGGACAAUGGGCGAAAGCCUGAUCCAGCCAUGCCGCGUGUGUGAAGAAGGUCUUCGGAUUGUAAAGCACUUUAAGUUGGGAGGAAGGGCAGUAAAUUAAUACUUUGCUGUUUUGACGUUACCGACAGAAUAAGCACCGGCUAACUCUGUGCCAGCAGGGGUAAUACAGAGGGCAAGCGUUAAUCGGAAUUACUGGGCGUAAAGCGCGCGUAGGUGGUUUGUUAAGUUGGAUGUGAAAUCCCCGGGCUCAACCUGGGUCUCAUGGCAAGCUAGAGUAUGGUAGAGGGUGGGAGAAAGGUAGAUAUAGGAAGGACAGAACG
rnacentral:rRNA from 1 species